GGUGCUAAGAUUAAUCAGGAUGUUUUUGUACUCGAAAGAAGCUACAAAGAUAAGGCUUCAUGCCGAAAUCA
rnacentral:misc_RNA from 1 species